rnacentral:lncRNA from 1 species
UAUGAUUGAUGCAUGACCAUAUGGAGAAACUCUUUAGCAAGAAAACGAGGGGAAGAAACCAAAUUACCGCACCGACAAGCUUGCAAGACGAGAACGGAAUGGAGAGACGAAAGGCCGUCGCAAGAGCCACCUCACGCCUACAACUACUACCACUAACGGGUUGGGGCCCAGCACGGAUCCUGGUUGGUGCCACCUCACGCCUACAACUACUACUAGCUGGCAGCCGGAGUGCCCCGCCUAUGGCCUCGUCGGAGGAGCAAACGGAGCCUCGGCCGCCGGUCCUCCUCCUCCGG